UACGUAGGGUGCGAGCGUUAAUCGGAAUCACUGGGCGUAAAGGGUGCGUAGGCGGCCGUGCAAGUCUGGCGUGAAAGCCCCGGGCUCAGCCCGGGAAGUGCGCUCGAAACUGCGCGGCUCGAGUGCCGGAGGGGAGAGUGGAAUUCCUGGUGUAGCGGUGAAAUGCGUAGAUAUCAGGAGGAAUACCGGUGGCGAAGGCGGCUCACUGGUCCGGUACUGACGCUGAGGUGCGAAAGCGUGGGGAGCAAACAGG
rnacentral:rRNA from 1 species